rnacentral:rRNA from 1 species
AACGAACGCUGGCGGCGUGGCUAAGACAUGCAAGUCGAACGGACCGUACAAUUGGGUAACCGAGAGUAUGGUUAGUGGCGAAAGGGUGAGGAAUAAAUAGGUAACGUACCCCAAACUUCGGGAUAAUGUCUGAAUGCUUCGGCAUUCUUCCGAAAGGGGCACUAAUACCGAAUAACAUCAUGGUGCACAAGUACUGUGAUCAAAGAUUUAUCGGUUUGGGAGCGGCCUAUUUCCUAUCAGCUUGUUGGUGAGGUAAUGGCUCACCAAGGCUAUGACGGGUAGCGGGACUGAGAGGUUGGCCCGCCACAUCGGGACUGAGACACUGCCCGGACCUCCACGGAGGGCUGCAGUAACGGAUAUUGGGCAAUGGGCGAAAGCCUGACCCAGCGACGCCGCGUGUAGGAAGAAGCCCCUCGGGGUGUAAACGUACUGUCAGGGGUUAGAAAGGUCCGGUUCGUCCGGAUUGAUCAGCCCCAGAGGAAGCCACGGCUAACUCGUGCCAGCAGCCGCGGUAAACAUACUCG